UUGGACCUGAGAUCAGGCAAGAUUACCCGCUGAA
rnacentral:rRNA from 1 species